rnacentral:tRNA from 1 species
UCCCUGGUGGCCUAGUGGUUAAGGAUCUGGCACUGUCACUGCUGUGGCUCAAGUUCAAUCCUUGGCCUUGGGA